rnacentral:rRNA from 1 species
GAUGAACGCUGGCGGCGUGCUUAACACAUGCAAGUCGAACGAAGCACCUUAUUCUGAUUUCUUCGGAAUGAAAAAUUUGGUGACUGAGUGGCGGACGGGUGAGUAACGCGUGGGUAACCUGCCUCAUACAGGGGGAUAACAGUUAGAAAUGACUGCUAAUACCGCAUAAGACCACAGCACCGCAUGGUGCAGGGGUAAAAACUCCGGUGGUAUGAGAUGGACCCGCGUCUGAUUAGGUAGUUGGUGGGGUAACGGCCUACCAAGCCGACGAUCAGUAGCCGACCGGAGAGGGUGACCGGCCACAUUGGGACUGAGACACGGCCCAAACUCCUACGGGAGGCAGCAGUGGGGAAUAUUGCACAAUGGGGGAAACCCUGAUGCAGCGACGCCGCGUGAGCGAUGAAGUAUUUCGGUAUGUAAAGCUCUAUCAGCAGGGAGGAAAAUGACGGUACCUGACUAAGAAGCACCGGCUAAAUACGUGCCAGCCGCCGCAGUAA